AUUGGACGCUGGCGGCAUGCCUUACACAUGCAAGUCGAACGGCAGCGCGGGGCAACCUGGCGGCGAGUGGCGAACGGGUGAGUAAUAUAUCGGAACGUACCCUGGAGUGGGGGAUAACGUAGCGAAAGUUACGCUAAUACCGCAUACGAUCUAAGGAUGAAAGUGGGGGCAUCGCAAGACCUCAUGCUCCUGGAGCGGCCGAUAUCUGAUUAGCUAGUUGGUGGGGUAAAGGCCUACCAAGGCAUCGAUCAGUAGCUGGUCUGAGAGGACGACCAGCCACACUGGAACUGAGACACGGUCCAGACUCCUACGGGAGGCAGCAGUGGGGAAUUUUGGACAAUGGGCGCAAGCCUGAUCCAGCAAUGCCGCGUGAGUGAAGAAGGCCUCGGGUUGUAAAGCUCUUUUGUCAGGGAAAGAAAACGGUGGGGGCUAAUAUCCCUUGCUAAUGACGGUACCUGAAGAAUAAGCACCGGCUAACUACGUGCCAGCAGCCGCGGUAAUACGUAGGGUGCAAGCGUUAAUCGGAAUUACUGGGCGUAAAGCGUGCGCAGGCGGUUUUGUAAGUCUGUCGUGAAAAUCCCCGGGCUCAACCNGGGAAUUGCGAUGGAGACUGGCAGGCUAGAAUCUGGCAGAGGGGG
rnacentral:rRNA from 1 species